GGGAGAGCCCAAUCACAGGGCGAGCUGGACCUGGCUGUGAUCAUUUAUAAUCCUUGACUCCUCCGCUCCGCCACUUGUCAAGAUGACAGACAUACAAUGCUCAGCCAGAACUGAGUCUCCUUAGUCAACCCUGGCUUCCUUUGAAGAUCCACAAACUGAGUCUCUGACUGAAGAGAGGAGAAUUCCAGAAAAGUGGCCUCUGUGGAAUUUACAUGAAGUCAGCUAAGUCUCAGUUAUAAUUUCUGAGACCAUACACUCCCUACAUCAUAUUUAAGGGGAAAAGAAAACUUUGUUUCUCUUAGAUCUAGAUAAACUACUGCAAUAUAAGGAGUUAAGAAAGGCAAUAAUAGAGGAGGCAUGAACACACAAGACCUUGGGAAGAGAGGAAUGUGAGCUGUGAAAAACCAAGCAGAAGUGUUUCCAUCUUAAUGGCGCUAUGAGCCGGAGAAGUCGCAGAAAACCAAAGGACUCAAGAGGAGGCACUGCUACCAAGAACUCGUGUCCACCAUGCAUUGGUGAAAGGACAUGAAGGAGCCAUUUUACCAACCUGAACCUUUCUCCAUGGGGCACUGCACAGCUUAACCUCUGAAACUCUGUUGAGCCGUUGAGGGCUCCUAAAGUUUCUUAACAGAGUCCCUCUUUACAGUAAAAACCCUACUUCUCUCUGAGUACAGAGUCAAAGCAGUCCUACAGCACUAACAUUUCAAUUGCUGCAUAUGGAGCCCAGUAAGUAAAGGACCCCCUAAGAGCGGUUAUGACUGGAUUGUAGCUGCUUCAAACAUUUAACUUUCUAUGAAUAGUUUCUGACGUUUUUGAAGGCUAAGCACCCCAAGUCAUCACUUUUCCAUCCAAGCAUAUAGGAAAGCAGUCACUGAUUGUGUGAUUGAUUCUUCACUGACCAGAAUAUAAACAUGGAGGAGAUUGUUAGCACCCAUGGUAUCUGAGGGAGAACUUACAGCAUCUGUUCACCUAUGUUAUAUAUAAAACAAUAGAUUGUAUAUACAAAUAUAGAAAACAUUUCACUUGUUUGUAUGUGCAUUAUAUGUAUUUUGAGUGCAGAUCAAGUGUAUCAUAGUCCCACUUAUCAUUAGUUUCAUUUUUUACAAUUUCAUAACAGUGGCCUAAAAAUAAUAGGUGGAAAAUUUUAGAAGCAAUCCAUACAUAUGUGUUAAAUUACACGACAUUUUGAGUACCGGGAUAAAUUCUCAUUCUGCAUUGCUUCUUCUUGCCCAAAAUAUAACUCAUUUCUUUGGUCAGUGUAUCUGCUCUGUAUAUCUUGCCUGUUACCUCCACGAUCAGAACCAUUUUUUGGAACAGCAUAGGGUCUGUAUUCAAAUCACCCUGUUAUGCUUAGCAAUGUCUCCCAAACAAGUCAUGGUACUGAAAUAUGAAUAUGUUAGAGAAAAACUGGAGAGUGUCUUCUUCAAGCAAAAUGCAAAGGUCUCCACUUAAGGGGGGGUUUAUAGAGCUAUCAUGUUGUUAAAUCAUGUACUAGGUAUGAUUCAUAAGUCAAUCUAUGUUAUAGCUAUGCAUGUACAAGAGAGAAGCAUGGUGCAUAAAGGGGCUGGUAUUAUUUGUGAUUUCUGAUAUUCACUGUAUUCUUGGAACACAGAAUUGUGUACCAUUGGCUUUCCCCAACCCUAAUGUUGUAUGUUUAAUGGAGACUUUGCUCUGUGACUAUUCAUCUAGUUUUGAACUGUACUAAGAAAGCACACACUCAUAUACACUUUCCUUACUAAGAAAAUAGUUCUCAUUUGUUCAAUCCAUUUGUUGCACCCUACAUUUCUAUGCAUACAUAGAGAUGUAUUUUCUUUUCAUUUGCAUACACAUAUUUUGUAAGUUAGAUUCAUUAGAAUUUUCCCUUUCACAGAUGGAGCUUAGUGGCAUGGGUAUCUGUGGUGUGGCCAAGGAAAAAUAAGGCAAGAAGAGGGAGGAAGAGGUUCUGGUUUAUUAUGAGUGCUAUAAGUGAAUGUCCAAAAUUCCCUAUGGAAAAAAAUGCCCCCAGGCACACCACUCAUGGGGACUUCCAAAGUUUGUUGCAUUCACUCAAUACAUAAUUUCAACAAAUCCAUUUAUGACUUUGAAAUGUGAAGUGUCCAAGUGAACAGAAGAAAUACUCAAAAGAGGAAAACUGGAAAAUAUUAAAAGUUGGACAGAGUUACUGAAAAACAGCCAGGUAGUGUGACUUUAGUUAAUAUAAAGGGCAAACGUCUGGCCAUCUUUCAGUAUUUGCAAGAGCUCUACUCAUUAAGAUGUAUAAGGAUGGUUUUGAAUCAUUAGGAAAAGGUGAAGUUAUAUGUCUAUCUUAGCAUAUUCUGGGCAAAAAAAAAUUAAAACAGUUCAUUUAGAUUGAGUUCCAUCAAAAUUAUUAAAGUUUGUAAGAGUGAAUCCUCAAGUUUUUAAGGCAUGCAAAUUUCCUUCUCUUUCCCUCUUUCUCCUUCUCUUUCUCCUCUCUCAUCUCUGCUCUAUCCCAUCUUCUUUCUCAUUCCUGCCCCACCACAUGCCUAUUACAUAUGUGCAUAAUACUUAUUUGGUGUUUGGUUUUGAUGUUACUGGUGAGGUGGACUUCUAUUUAAGGAAACACUGUUGUAGGACAAUUUAAGUACUUGGAAAUAAUCUUACAUUUUCAUUUCUCAUAUAGAAAAAAUAUGCUGGUAUAUUAUAUUCAUUAUUCUUUUAAGUUCAGUCAACUCCCAAUUAUUUCUGGUAAUAGAGAGUAGGGAUAAAAUGAGCAGGUGAAAUCUAUUUCUAGUCCCCGAACACAACUUCGAGUCUCUCCCCUCGGUCUUCUUCACUAGAAGCAGAGCUAUGUCUCUUUCCCUUUCUUUGUGGACUCAUUUCAAUUGUUGAAUAACCUUAAGCAAAACAAGCCAAGGUGGUGGUGGGGAACCCAAACGUAAGGAUGAUCUGAAAUCCUUUCUAAAAUUAAGACAGCAAACAUAAUCUAUAAAGCUAAUUUUUAAAAAGCUGGGCUGCUUUUUUCAAACAUUGUGUCUGAAACAUUGUGUCACUACCAGAGAAGACUAGAAUGUCCUUCAUUAAAUGAUGCUAUUUUGAAAGGCAUUCAUACAUUUAGAAGACAGUUUCCUCUCAUUACAAAUGUAUUUUAACUUUCAGAAUAGCAGUUGGAUGUUUAAACAUAAUAGCUUUAUAUAUUUUAUAACUUACAGAGGAGGACAAAUAAGCACUGGCUUAAUAAAAUCAUUAACUAGAGAAUUAAGAACAUUUCAAGCAUGACCUCCAGACAGCUAGCAUCAGGCUAGGUUUCCUAGCUGUUCCUUAACUAGCAAUAGUAUUGACUUUUUAAAAGUAAGAGUGAAUAGAAUUUAUCUAAGGAAGAAUCAAUAUGAAGCUGAAACUCCAAGGUCUUAACAGCUAAUCUUGAAGAGCAUCACUCAGAGGCGAGAUUAGUAUGG